UACGAAGGGGGCAAGCGUUGUCCGGAAUCAUUGGGCGUAAAGCGCGCGUAGGCGGCCUCGUAAGUCCGCUGUAAAAGUCACAGGCUCAACCUGUGAACGCCGGUGGAUACUGCGAGGCUAGAGUCCGGAAGAGGCGAGUGGAACUCCUGGUGUAGCGGUGGAAUGCGCAGAUAUCAGGAAGAACACCAACGGCGAAGGCAGCUCGCUGGGACGGUACUGACGCUGAGGCGCGAAAGCGUGGGGAGCGAACAGG
rnacentral:rRNA from 1 species